GGAGCUGUAGCUUAGUGGUAGAGCACCUGCCUUGUAUGUGUGAGGCCUGGGUUCAAUCCUCAGCACCA
rnacentral:tRNA from 1 species